rnacentral:misc_RNA from 1 species
GAAAUGGAAUUGAAAUUGGAGUCUAAAGAGGAUGAAAAUUCAAGUGCAGAGUCAAAAAUGGGAUCCACUGAUCAGGAGAGAGACACAGCAUUGCAAGAGUUGGAUGCUACUAGAAAGCAGCUUGAGAAUUUGUCAAAACAGUAUGAGGAGCUAGAAGCAAAAUCAAAAGCAGAUAUUAAAUUUCUGGCUAAAGAAUUCAAAUCCCUCAAAAGUUCACAGGCAGAACUGAAGGAGAAACUUAGUCA